CGGGUGGCUGCAGCAGUGGGGAAUAUUGCACAAUGGAGGAAACUCUGAUGCAGCAACGCCGCGUGGAGGAUGACACUUUUCGGAGCGUAAACUCCUUUUAUAUAGGAAGAAGAUGACGGUACUAUAUGAAUAAGCGCCGGCUAACUCCGUGCCAGCAGCCGCGGUAAUACGGAGGGCGCAAGCGUUACUCGGAAUCACGGGGCGUAAAGAGCGUGUAGGCGGAUUAAAAAGUCAGAAGUGAAAUCCUAUAGCUUAACUAUAGAACUGCUUCUGAAACUCUUAAUCUAGAAUAUGGGAGAGGUAGAUGGAAUUUCUGGUGUAGGGGUAAAAUCCGUAGAGAUCAGAAGGAAUACCGAUUGCGAAGGCGAUCUACUAGAACAUUAUUGACGCUGAGACGCGAAAGCGUGGGGAGCAAACAGGAUUAGAUACCCCUGUAGUC
rnacentral:rRNA from 1 species